GCUCCUGUAGCUCAAUAGGUUAGAGCGCCGUGCUUAUAUGGGCAAUACUCAUAUGUUCAACGCACAGCUACGCGGAGGCCGCGGGUUCGAGUCCCGCCAGGAGCA